GGAUAACGCUCGCAUCCUCCGUAUUACCGCGGCUGCUGGCACGGAGUUAGCCGAUGCUUAUUCAUACGGUACAUGCAGGGAGCCACACGUGACUCUUGUUAUUCCCGUAUAAAAGAAGUUUACAAUCCAUAAGACAGUCAUCCUUCACGCGACUUGGCUGGUUCAGGCUCUCGCCCAUUGACCAAUAUUCCUCACUGCUGCCUCCCGUAGGAGUCUGGUCCGUGUCUCAGUACCAGUGUGGGGGUUCAACCUCUCAGUUCCCCUACCCAUCGUCGCCUUGGUGAGCCGUUACCUCACCAACUAGCUAAUGGGACGCAUGCCUAUCUCACAGCGAAUUUCAUUUCCUCUACAUUGGAUGCCCAACAUAGAGUGUACGCGGUAUUAGUCCGUCUUUCGACGGGUUAUCCCCCUCUGUGAGGCAAGUUGCAUACGCGUUACGCACCCGUGCGCCGGUCGCCAUCAGUCUUAGCAAGCUAAGACCAUGCUGCCCCUCGACUUGCAUGUGUUAAGCCUAUCGCUAGCGUUCAUCCUGAGCCAGGAUCAAACUCUA
rnacentral:rRNA from 1 species